GGACACGUGGUUCGAAACUCUCCCACAUUAAAAAACUAAGAAAAG
rnacentral:ncRNA from 2 species